GACGUAGGGCGCGAGCGUUGUCCGGAUUUAUUGGGCGUAAAGAGCUCGUAGGCGGCUUGUCGCGUCGACUGUGAAAACCCGAGGCUCAACCUCGGGCCUGCAGUCGAUACGGGCAGACUAGAGUUCGGCAGGGGAGACUGGAAUUCCUGGUGUAGCGGUGAAAUGCGCAGAUAUCAGGAGGAACACCGGUGGCGAAGGCGGGUCUCUGGAACGCAACUGACGCUGAGACGCGAAAGCGUGGGGAGCAAACAGG
rnacentral:rRNA from 1 species